CAAAAGGUAUGAACAAUGAUUGGAAGUGGAGUUUCCUGUAAACAGCAAACUGCAUGGCCCCAGUGCAGGAGGGGGGUACCCAGCUUAGCAAGUGCAAUAUUGGCUAAAGUGGCCCAUACAGCAACCACAUUUUCAACUUGACAGGGCUCAGUCAUCAAGAGACCGUUCUCAGUCAUAUUGGGCGGAGCAGUUGGCAGUGCAUUAAGGUUUUAAUUUUUGGUGUCAGAAGGACCAGGCUCAGGUGCGGUGCAGUCGUGAGACCUCUGGCGGAGGGGGCUACUGACUGUGAGUGGUGCAGUGGUUUGUUUACAAACAGAGGGGUGCAAAUGUUCAAAUGAUGCCGAUAUUUAACAACUGAAGAAGUGGGCCUAACACCAACAGAGGCCAUUUUACUCAAAGUGGAUUGCUUAAGUCAAUUAUUCCUCAAGUGAACUGCACUGUGAAUCCUGCCUUCGAAGUUCCGCGAAAAGGUGACAACUUUAUUAUUAGUUUUCUGAAAUAUCCUGUUUAAAGACUCCACUUUUUGUGUGUUGGUAUUAAGUUUUGUUGAUUCAAUGGCCCUUGGGCCCAGUCUAUAAUUUAGGCACUGUCUUAAGAUGUGCAUAUCUUCAGAGUUGCUAAAGUCUAGUUUGCCUUUCUCAGGGAAAAUAGUUUCCGAGCCACCUUUGCAUACAUAAGAAUACUUCAAACAAUUUUCACAAUCACCAGUGUAACAACUAAUUAUAGAGUCAGUGACAUAGCUCAGUGCUCUUUUAAUCAAUUCUAUGUCACCUUUAUUUGCUUUAAAGCAGGCAUCAAAUUCAGCAUAGCAGCGCAUUGCUAUGCACUGAGCAAAGCGUUUUUGCAUUUUGUCUCUUGAGUACUUAGUUUUCCCUGGAAAAACUUGACCGGAAAAUGGUGCUUUUUCAAUUUGCU